rnacentral:rRNA from 1 species
GUUUACAGCCAUACCACCCUGAAUGCGCCUGAUCUCGUCUGAUCUCAGAAGCUAAGCAGGGUCGGGCCUGGUUAGUACUUGGAUGGGAGAUCCUAGAGGAAACUCUUGCACAGCUGCGAAAU